GAUGAACGCUGGCGGCGUGCUUAACACAUGCAAGUCGAACGAAGCACUUUGAAAGCUUGCUUUCAAAGUGACUGAGUGGCGGACGGGUGAGUAACGCGUGGGUAACCUGCCUUAUACAGGGGGAUAACAGUUGGAAACGACUGCUAAUACCGCAUAAGCGCACAGUGCCGCAUGGCACAGUGUGAAAAACUCCGGUGGUAUAAGAUGGACCCGCGUCUGAUUAGCUAGUUGGGGAGGUAACGGCUCACCAAGGCGACGAUCAGUAGCCGGCUUGAGAGAGUGAUCGGCCACAUUGGGACUGAGACACGGCCCAAACUCCUACGGGAGGCAGCAGUGGGGAAUAUUGCACAAUGGGGGAAACCCUGAUGCAGCAACGCCGCGUGAGUGAAGAAGUAUUUCGGUAUGUAAAGCUCUAUCAGCAGGGAAGAUAAUGACGGUACCUGACUAAGAAGCCCCGGCUAACUACGUGCCAGCCGCCGCGGUAAGAC
rnacentral:rRNA from 1 species